AUUGAACGCUGGCGGCAGGCCUAACACAUGCAAGUCGAGCGAGCGGCGGACGGGUGAGUAAUGUAUGGGGACUGCCCGAUAGAGGGGGAAAACUACUGGAAACGGUAGCUAAUACCGCAUAACAUCGGAUAACCCAUAUUGGAUUAGCUAGUAGGUGAGGUAAUUGCUCACCUAGACGACGAACCCUAGCUGGUCUGAGAGGCUGAUCAGCCACCCUGGGACUGAGACACGGCCCCGACUCCUACGGAGGCAGCAGUGGGGAAUAUUGCACAAUGGGCGCAAGCCUGAUCCAGCCAUCCCGCGUGUAUGAUGAAGGCCUUCGGGUUGUAAAGUACUUUUGGCAGAGAAGCGGUAUCUGCAGAAUAAGCACCGGCUAACUACGUGCCAGCAGCCGCGGUAAUUC
rnacentral:rRNA from 1 species